rnacentral:rRNA from 1 species
AUUGAACGCUGGCGGCAGGCCUAACACAUGCAAGUCGAGCGAGCGGCGGACGGGUGAGUAAUGUCUGGGAAACUGCCUGACGGAGGGGGAUAACUACUGGAAACGGUAGCUAAUACCGCAUACCAUCAGAUGUGCCCAGAUGGGAUUAGCUAGUAGGUGGGGUAACGGCUCACCUAGGCGACGAACCCUAGCUGGUCUGAGAGGAUGACCAGCCCCCCUGGACCUGAGCCACGGUCCGGACUCUUACGGGGGGAGUCAGUGGGGAAUAUUGCACAAUGGGCGCAAGCCUGAUGCAGCCAUGCCGCUUGUGUGAAGAAGGCCUUCGGGUUGUAAAGCACUUUCAGCGGGGAGGCGUUACCCGCAGAAGAAGCACCGGCUAACUCCGUGCCAGCCGCCGCGGUAAUUC